rnacentral:tRNA from 1 species
UGUCCGAGGGACUGCGCUGGAUCGAUUAGCUUAAGCGAUUGUCUCCAUCGUAUUGUGGGACAAGCCAGGCUUUGGCCGGUCGAUGUGAGGAUCUAUUUGCCUUGGGCCUGUAGCUCAGUUGGUUAGAGCGCGCGCGAGAUAAGCGUGAGGUCGGAGGUUCUAAUCCUCCCAGGUCCUCCAGUCAUCGAAAGUGUCUGAACCUUCGAUUGUGUCCGUUACCUCCCGGGUCCAUAGGUCAAUUGGGAGAGCGGCAACUUUCCAAUCUUCAGGUCGUUGGUUUGAUCCUGUCCGGCUCCACCAAAUCCGGAAAGUAUUCAAGUUCGUAUCAUCGGAAACGAUGGUUACGUUGCUGUUUGUCAUUUUGAAGAGGGAAAGUAUUCGAGAGAUGCUCAUCUCGCAGCAUGCGGAAGGUCCGACACCAUCGGCUUCCGUUAAAUCGGGUACAUUCGGCAAGCAUAAUGGUCUUUUUGAUCAUAUGUUCAGCGAGUUGAUCUCGCGGACAUCGAUCAUGAGAACGAUCAA